rnacentral:rRNA from 1 species
AUGCGCCACCCACCUUUGGAUCCCUCCGCCCGCUCGCGCCCUUGCUCCCUCUCCGCCUGUGGGGCCGCGCCCCUCGCGCUGCUCCGCGACGACGCGGGCUCGUCCAAGUGGCGGGCGACCGGCGGCGGCGGCACCAGCGUCGUUGCGAGGGGGCCGCGAGUGGCGGGCGACCCUUUGGUACCAUCCCGUGGGGAGGGCCAGGGACAAGCUGCUCCGAUCCGGCGGGGAUUCCCAGCAUCUGCUGUUCGACCACCUGCUCUGGAUGCUCGACAACGCCGUCGACCUCCGCGCCGGCACCGGCGGCGAGGACGACGCCACGUGCUAGCCCAGUUACAGCUGGCAGAGGCCAUCAGGAGGAAGAAGCCACCUGGCGACGUCAUCCGGAUCGUGAGCACCAGGAGCAAGCCGCAGCUCGCCGCCACGUUCCGGUGCUACAAGGAACAACAUGGCAGCGACAUCGAAGAGGACAUGAAGCAGUACAACAGCAGCCAGUUUGCAAGGAUGCUCAAGAUUGCUGUCUGGUGCCUCACAUCUCCUGAAAAGCACUUUUCAGAGGUACGCCACGGCACGCAGAUCAACCUCACCCUGCGCGCCCGCUGGUGGCUGCACUGCAUCACGCGCAGCCGCGAGUGCGACGCCAGGCUCGUUGUGCCCAUGGGGGACCAUACUGGGGUGUGCAGUACGUCCGCAGGUGCCACGGAUAUGGAGCCUGAUGUUGCUGCUGAAGAGCAGAGCGAUCAAGCUCCCCCAAAGGGACAUCUAGAGGGCCUUACUCAUCAGAGAGAGAGGUGA